rnacentral:misc_RNA from 1 species
GUGAAUCAUCAAAUCUUUGAACGCAAAUUGCGCUUCCUGGCAUCCCGGGAAGUAUGCCUGUUUGAGGGUCAGUAUUAACAAAAAAACGGUUUGGUUGCAAAUUGUGACGUUUCCGGAGUUUGGGCGAUCUUAACUUUUUUGGUUAAGGGGCUUAGAAUUUACCUUUUUUGCGCAUUAUUAGACGUACAUAAAUUUU